CUUUUCCAUUUUUCCUUCUGUUCGUAAUGGUUGGAGCCAGGAUACAAGUCUGAACAAGAUGUUUGAUACAGCGAUUCUUUGCUUUUCUGUGGUGCCUUUUUUAAAAUUAUAAUAAUUUGCUGGGCCUGUAUUGACAGUUCCAUUCAAAUCAAGGCCAGAUUUGCUGGCAACUUGUGCAAACAUUUCUUCUCUUUCAGUCUUAUCAGUAGAACAGCUGAAACCUGAAACAGGACCUUCAGUGUCUGAGCCAGAAGAGCUGUUCUAUACCUGGGCUUCUGCCACAAGUAUCCCUUAUGCAGCUGGAGGGCUCCAGCUCAGGAGAGCACACGGGAUAACCACUCUUCCCAAGGACAGCGCUCAAGGUUUGAUGCUGCUGAAGUGGCUCCCCAAGUAAAAUGCCCUCUGAACACAAGCAGAAGGUAGACUGAUGCACAAGUAAAUAAGUGCCCAGGUUGUUAACCAUGAAACUUGGGGAAAAGUGGCACAGUGAGACCACUUGUGUCUGGAAUAACCUUUACAUACACCAUGAACAACCUGAAGAAAAGAAUAUGAUCUCCUCCAAGAAUUCAGAAACAGAACAACAGGAUGUUCUGAUGAAAAUACAAGCCCCUAGCAGUGGCUCUGACCCAAGCAUUUUGUGGUCAGCCAAAGAAAACGGUGGUGGAAACUGUGUACAAAGAAGGGAGGUGUGUAGGUACCAUACAGCUGACAGCAGACCUGUAUCAGCACCUUUUAAAAAAUCAGUGUCUGAAAAUUAAUACUAUGAAAUCAAAAUUAUCUUGGCAGAAAAUUUUCCAAGGAACUGUUGUUUUCAUGUAAAGUCAAAGAAGACAUCUGCAUUAUGG